rnacentral:lncRNA from 1 species
GUAAGGAAGGAUGUCCCAGGUGCAGGCGAGGUUUUGUUCAUGUGUUCCUGGAGGAUUUUUCCGGUGGCAAGUGCUUCUCCAUCCUCCAGCAUCUCAGGCCUGUGCACCAGCCUUCCUGUGCCCGUUGAUGGACUGAGAGGAAGAUGAGCCCUUAGGAUGCCUGCCAUGCUCAGUGUUAAGGGUUUUCAAAAGAAAUGCAGGCAGCAUGGUGCACUACAGACUCCAGCCUCCCUUUGAAGCCAGGUUCCAGAGCUUCCUCCCUUUGGCCUGGAACCUCAACAGCAGGAUUGGGAUGAGGAUGGAAGUGUACAGAUAUGCAUAUAGUAUUGCUUAUCCCCAGCUGAAAUCAAUGUUGGCAUGACAUGUUGCAAAACCAAACUGACAUUGAACAUGACUUUUUUCAGCCCUUUAAA